UGGGGAAUAUUGCACAAUGGGCGAAAGCCUGAUGCAGCGACGCCGCGUGCGGGAUGAAGGCCUUCGGGUUGUAAACCGCUUUUGAUUGGGGAGCAAGCGAGAGUGAGUGUACCUUUCGAAUAAGCACCGGCUAACUACGUGCCAGCAGCCGCGGUAAUACGUAGGGUGCAAGCGUUAUCCGGAAUUAUUGGGCGUAAAGAGCUCGUAGGCGGUUUGUCGCGUCUGGUGUGAAAGUCCAUCGCUUAACGGUGGAUCUGCGCCGGGUACGGGCAGGCUAGAGUGCGACAGGGGAGACUGGAAUUCCCGGUGUAACGGUGGAAUGUGUAGAUAUCGGGAAG
rnacentral:rRNA from 1 species